UACAGGGGGGGCAAGCGUUGUUCGGAAUUACUGGGCGUAAAGGGUCUGUAGGUGGCCAACUAAGUCAGACGUGAAAUCCCUCAGCUUAACUGGGGAACUGCGUCUGAUACUGGAUGGCUUGAGUGUGGGAGAGGAAUGCGGAAUUCCAGGUGUAGCGGUGAAAUGCGUAGAUAUGCGGAGGAACACCGAUGGCGAAGGCAAUCCCCUGGACCUGUACUGACGCUCAUGCACGAAAGGCGUGGGGAGCAAACGAGGAUA
rnacentral:rRNA from 1 species